rnacentral:tRNA from 1 species
AAAUAAGAAGCAAAACAUUGCGUUUAGUUUCGACCUAAAAAAAUUGAUUAUUUAAUCCUUAUUUA